UACAUGGGGUGCAACCGUUGCUCGGAAUUAUUGGGCGUAAAGCGCACGUAGGCGGUCCGUUAAGUCGGAUGUGAAAGCCCCCGGCUCAACCGGGGAAGUGCAUCCGAAACUGGCAGGCUAGAGUACGAAAGAGGGUCGCGGAAUUCCCGGUGUAGAGGUGAAAUUCGUAGAUAUCGGGAGGAACACCGGUGGCGAAGGCGGCGACCUGGGUCGAUACUGACGCUGAGGUGCGAAAGCGUGGGGAGCAAACAGG
rnacentral:rRNA from 1 species